UGAAACGAGUGGCGCAACUGGGAAAGGAAACUGCAGGCGCCGCGUCUGUGCUCGGGAUUUACUCCGCGCUCGAGUGACCCGGGACACCGCAAGAGAAAGAGCAUUGAGCUGCAUAUCGACAGGACUCCUCUGGAACAAUGGAGACAAGAGUCCGACUGCUGCUGGUCCUGAUGUCCUCAGUUAUGAUGGGACAAUUGUCAACAACCGGAGAAGGAACUGCAUCAUCUACAACCUUCACUACAUCAGCAAUUA